rnacentral:misc_RNA from 1 species
AAGUCGUAACAAGGUAACCGUAGGUGAACCUGCGGUUGGAUCAUUAAUAAAUUUAAUCUAAAAGAAGGCAAGGGGUAAAACUCUUGUCUUUUUUUAAACACAAUGUGAACUGUUUAUUGUAUUUGGUGUGGUUAAAACAGGGUUCAUACUUUGGCUUGUAAAAGGGCACCCACCAAUGUUAAACUAUUUUAUCUGUCUUAUUUUUUUUUGUUACUUUGUAAUAAAAUUUUAAAAAAAAAACAACUUUUGGCAACGGAUCUCUAGGCUCUU